rnacentral:rRNA from 1 species
AGAGUUUGAUCCUGGCUCAGAUUGAACGCUGGCGGAAUGCUUUACACAUGCAAGUCGAACGGCAGCACGGGAGCUUGCUCCUGGUGGCGAGUGGCGAACGGGUGAGCAAUAUAUCGGAACGUACCCAGUCGUGGGGGAUAACUCUCCGAAAGGAGAGCUAAUACCGCAUACGUCCUGAGGGGGAAAGCGGGGGAUCGCAAGACCUCGCGCGAUUGGAGCGGCCGAUAUCGGAUUAGCUAGUUGGUGAGGUAAAGGCUCACCAAGGCGACGAUCCGUAGCGGGUCUGAGAGGACGGCCCGCCACACUGGAACUGAGACACGGUCCAGACUCCUACGGGAGGCAGCAGUGGGGAAUUUUGGACAAUGGGGGCAACCCUGAUCCAGCCAUUCCGCGUGAGUGAAGAAGGCCUUCGGGUUGUAAAGCUCUUUCAGCAGGAACGAAACGGUCGACUUUAAUAAAGUCGUCUAAUGACGGUACCUGCAGAAGAAGCACCGGCUAACUACGUGCCAGCAGCCGCGGUAAUACGUAGGGUGCGAGCGUUAAUCGGAAUUACUGGGCGUAAAGCGUGCGCAGGUGGCGACAUAAGACAGAUGUGAAAUCCCCGGGCUCAACCUGGGAACUGCGUUUGUGACUGUGUUGCUAGAGUGUAGCAGAGGGGGGUGGAAUUCCACGUGUAGCAGUGAAAUGCGUAGAGAUGUGGAGGAACACCGAUGGCGAAGGCAGCCCCCUGGGUUAACACUGACGCUCAUGCACGAAAGCGUGGGGAGCAAACAGGAUUAGAUACCCUGGUAGUCCACGCCCUAAACGAUGCCAACUAGGUGUUGGGGGAGGAGACUUCCUUAGUACCGUAGCUAACGCGUGAAGUUGGCCGCCUGGGGAGUACGGUCGCAAGAUU